AACGAACGUUGGCGGCGUGGAUUAGGCAUGCAAGUCGGGGGAAUCCCAGCAAUGGGGGAACCGGCGUAAGGGGCAGUAAGGCGUGGGUACCUACCGAGGGGUUCGGGAUAGCCAUCAGAGAUGGUGGGUAAUACCGGAUGACGUCGUGAGACCAAAGAUUUAUCGCCCUUCGAGGGGCCCACGUGAUAUUAGCUAGUUGGUGAGGUAACGGCUCACCAAGGCGAAGAUGUCUAGCGGGUGUGAGAGCACGACCCGCGCCACUCGCACUGAGACACUGGCGAGACACCUACGGGUGGCUGCAGUCGAGGAUCUUCGGCAAUGGGCGCAAGCCUGACCGAGCGACGCCGCGUGCGCGAUGAAGGCCUUCGGGUUGUAAAGCGCGAAAGAGGGGAGAAAAGCCCGCAAGGGUUUGAUCUAUCCUCAGUAAGCACGGGCUAAGUUCGUGCCAGCCGCCGCGGUAAAAC
rnacentral:rRNA from 1 species